CAGAGCUCACUCUUGCCAUUGCCAUCAGUUACAUUUAUCUAUAAUCCUCGAUCUUUCUGAUGCAAGAGUAUAUUGUAUAUGCUCGUAGUUACAGAGAGGCAAAUUUAAAUGAGUUGAAUUAGGCCUAGAGAGGAGUUGUACCUGACCUAAUGAUUUGAAUUGGGUUCGGGUUGAAUGAAGUCAAGCUAAUGGCAAGAGUUGAUGAACCAACCUGACGUUGUUAGACUCGGGCCCAAUCGACUUAAGCUGUAUUCAUAAUGCACUUUUUAGGUUAGAUUGUCUUUCAAUUGUGGUCAAAAUUAAGUUGACGUUCUAAAUAUUUUUAAAGGUUUUAAAAAUCAUUUCAAACAGGUUAAGAGAUAUAGUGUACUAUAUGUUGGCAGUCUCUUUCUUCCACAUGUCAACUCAAGUCUCCUCGCAGCUCAGGAAAGCCACCCAACAAAGUGUUGAUGCAUUUUAAUUAAUCACAGAACUUUGCAGGUAUUAGUAAUACUGUGGUGUACGUGCACAGGGCUAAUGCAUUGGUGCAAGAAAUACCAAUAUGAACAUAAAACAGUGCUAUCAGCCAUCAGUUCAGGUUCUAAGUAGGUGGAAUGGGCUUUUGAUGUGGUGGUGAGAUUGAAGAAAUGGGGGCCAGGGAAAGACUUGUAAGCUUUGUGAAAUUGAUGGAAACGUCAUGCAUUCGCAAUAAUUUGUUGAAAUGGCAAAUACCCAACUAUUUCCAAACACUCACAUCUAUACUUAUACUUAUAUGGUAUGAUUAUUACA